rnacentral:rRNA from 1 species
GAUGAACGCUAGCGGCAGGCUUAACACAUGCAAGUCGAGGGGCAGCAUGAGACGGAGAUUCGUCGAAGUCUUGAUGGCGACCGGCGCAAGGGUGCGUAACGCGUGAGCAACUUGCCCGUUUCAGGGGGAUAACCGUUGGAAACGACGACUAAUACCCCAUAGUAUCGUGAGGAGGCAUCUCUUUAUGGUUAAAGAAUUUCGGAAACGGAUAGGCUCGCGUGACAUUAGCUAGAUGGCGGGGUAACGGCCCACCAUGGCGACGAUGCCUAGGGGUUCUGAGAGGAAGGUCCCCCACACUGGAACUGAGACACGGUCCAGACUCCUACGGGAGGCAGCAGUGAGGAAUAUUGGUCAAUGGUCGAAGGACUGAACCAGCCAUGCCGCGUGAAGGUGACGGCCCUAUGGGUCUUAAACUUCUUUUGUAAGGGAGCAAUAAGGUCUACGUGUAGGCUGAUGAGAGUACCUUACGAAUAAGCAUCGGCUAACUCCGUGCCAGCAGCCGCGGUAAUAC